UACGUAGGGGGCUAGCGUUGUCCGGAAUCAUUGGGCGUAAAGCGCGCGUAGGCGGCCAGAUAAGUCCGGUGUGAAAGCCCCCGGCUCAACUGGGGAGGGUCACUCGAUACUGAUCGACUCGAAGGCAGAAGAGGGAAGCGGAAUUCGCGGUGUAGUGGUGAAAUGCGUAGAUAUCGGGAGGAACACCAGUGGCGAAGGCGGCUUUCUGGCCUGUUCUUGACGCUGAGGCGCGAAAGCUAGGGGAGCAAACGGG
rnacentral:rRNA from 1 species